rnacentral:lncRNA from 1 species
GAGGGCUCGCAGUUGCAGACCAGCAAGCAGCCAUGGCGGCGCCGAAGAGGCCGUGGAAGUGCUGCGACCGCGCGCGGUGCACCAGGUCCAUCCCGCCGAUCUGCACCUGCGUGGACGAGGCGUUCGAGUGCGCCUCCACCUGCAAGGCAUGCGUGCCGUCGACGCGGAACCCGUCCCUCCAGGUCUGCGAGGAUCAGUACGUCGGCGACCCCGGGCCCAUCUGCCGGCCGUGGGAGUGCUGCGACUCGGCCGCGUGCACCAAGACAGACCCGCCGACGUGCCGCUGCGGGGACGAGGUCGAGCGGUGCGCUCCGACCUGCAAGACCUGCGAGCCGUCCACGUCGGACCCAUCCCUCAACGUCUGCAGGGACGCGUACACCGGGGCCAUCCCGCCCACAUGCACGCCAGAGGCGGUUGCCGCCGGCGGUAACUAGCACGCGCGUCGUCUCUACUCCUGCCUUGCUGCUGCAGCAGCCUGCACUUUGUGACUAUAUAAAAUAAAAUUUGGAUAAGCAACCAUGAAUACGCCAGCAGGUGUUAUUUAAUCUUCUUAAUAACUAAAUGGUGCUCGUUUCUUACGUUUCAUCAUGAAACUUUCAUGCAGUUUCGCAAAAGUUCUAUUUCCAAAAGAUAAACUGAACUAGAGAAAGGUCACGGCGUGCAUGUCCCGGUUGCGGUAGCUCGAGAGGCGAAUGGCGCCCAUGCCAUCGGCGGCGAAGUGGGCUGCCUCGAGGAUGAUGGCACCUCUCAGAACAACUUCAAUGAAGCGACCUAUUUUGUUUGUCCAUGUCUGUUUAAAUCCCCGCGGACAAAAACUCAAGACCAACGUGCCGAUCUAAACCUAAAAUGCGUCUGCUUCAUGUCCGCACCUGCGUCAGCGCGGACAUGAAGCGAAUGUGCCGCGCGUCCGCUUGAUGUCCCUCAUGGCCCCACUUGUCGGCCGGCCAAACACCGCACACGGUUGUUUUUUGACGCGGCCACCUUCUGCGAACCCAUGCGUCAACGACUGGAAGCUAGGGGGGCCAUCUUUUUUUAA